GACAGAGGGUGCAAACGUUGUCCGGAAUUACUGGGCGUAAAGGGCUCGUAGGCGGCCAACUAAGUCAGACGUGAAAUCCCUCGGCUUAACCGGGGAACUGCAUCUGAUACUGGAUGGCUUGAGUUCGGGAGAGGGAUGCGGAAUUCCAGGUGUAGCGGUGAAAUGCGUAGAUAUCUGGAGGAACACCGGUGGCGAAGGCGGCAUCCUGGACCGACACUGACGCUGAGGAGCGAAAGCCAGGGGAGCAAACGGG
rnacentral:rRNA from 1 species